AAAAGAUUUUUUGAAAAUGUAGGAAAAAAACAUCAUUUGUUCUACAAAUGAUCGCUGAAAAAAGCUGUCAGUGCAUGUCAUUUUUUGUUUAUUUUUAAAUGGAUUUGUAAGGAUCCAAUGAAAACAUGGGUUAUUUCAUAUUGCCCACAAAGGUUAGCCAUUGGUAAUCUUCAAAACUUUGUACCAAUUGCAGUUAAAGGAUUAAAGUUAUUAAUAAAGUAGAGGCAAAAUACACCAGUAUGCAUAAGUAAUGAGAAAAAACAUUGUUAUAAUAAUGAAGCAGAGACGAAGCAAUUAAAUAUAGCCAUUCUUUUGUUGUUUGAUUUGGCAUGUAAUGGAAAUCAGAAAAGCUUUUAGCAAAGGCAGGGACAUUCUAACAUCAAACUGGAGAAAAAUGACGUAUCUUUGAAACAAUGUUUAAAAAAUAAUCCUUUUCAUCUGUAAAUUGAAACAAAGUUCAGGCAAUUUUAAGAUGCUUUAAAAUUCUGCAAAACAAAAAAGAGAAAAUGAAGCAUUUUCAACACCAUUAUUAUUAUCAUGGUACCUUUAACUAUUUCAAGAUCUCCUGAAUCAAUAUCUUUUAGAGGUUUGUGUAGAUAUGCUACUGACUUCAGCAUAGACAACAUGUCUGUUCCAUUGUGAAUACCCAGGUACUUGAGGACAUUGCUCUGUAAUAUAAAGCUAAUCACAUUGCUAAAACUGAGCAUUUCUUUUGUCCCUAAUGUUUUUCUUGGGAAGAUUUUAUAUUUCUGAUAGUGUCUACAUUUUUGCCUAAUCCUCUGAACUUGUGCAUGAAGUGUUUAAAUAUUCUUGGAGAAUUUAUGGUGGAAAGAAACCCAACCAUUCGGAAGUUUUAUUAAAUGAAAUUAUGAAGCAUUCAUUACAAAAUAUGGAUGCCAGAAGCCAAUGGUAAAUAAUUGGGCUCAUAACCCCAGUUUUUCCCUGUUGGACCACCAGUUUGGCAUGGUCAGGGGACUUGCAUGUCUCAAUGAUCCUUACAAGUUGCAGUUGUUGCUGUCUUGGAACACAUUCCAAGAGCUUUCAAUGUAGAAAGAUAUGGUGGUUCUUGAAUAGCUGUAAACGCAGAUUUCUAUAAGUUGUUACUAGGGUAAUUUACUGUUUGAAAGACAGUUUUUUUCCUUCCUCUGGAUAAAAUACUAUUUCUGUUUAUAAAAUAAAAUUUUCAAAAUGUUCCCACUGAAAGGCAUGAGUGUUACCAUGUUUUGUCAACUGUCCCUUUAGCCCCAACAAAACCCCUAAAAGUCAGGUAGUAGCUUUUUUAGAUAUUUUUUUAAAAAAGGGCGUUUAGCAAGAACACCAUAUGCUUAGUAAUAUAACAAUAACCAACAUGGACCAAUGCCUUUUAAUACUAAGUGCACUUUACAGAAGUUGAAUUAAAAAACUCUCCCUGCUAUGCAUACAUGCAAGCAAACAUGCACUACAGGAAGCACACCAGAUUAGUAAUGCAAAAACAUACAAAUGGAACAGUUAUCCUGGUGGACCUCCACUUUAAGAAAAAUCAAUGUCCAGAAUAAUCCAUCUGCUUGGCAUCCUUUUUGAUAGAGUUCAAGAUUUUAGAUUUAUAUUUUUAUGUGCAGGCAUAUUUGAAUGUAUAUUUAUAUGAGGCAUUGUACCAUGUUGCCAUUAUAUUCAACAGCUUCGUUUUUUUUUCCUGUUCUGUCAAAAAAAGUUAUUACUCAUUAUGAAUUUGUGGCAUAGAUUUCAGUCUUAAAAGCUAUAAUUGAGAAACGGUUGUAUUGUAGGUAGUCUUGUUACUGUGAAGCUUUCUCACUAAUCUAUGCAAAUUCCUCAGCUGGUGUAGAAAUAAUAAAUGUAUCCAUGCCUAUGCAUGCAAAACAAACAUAUCCAAUCCAACAUUUAUUAUAAAUUUACUUUAUCCCUCCACAUGCCCAACCAUCAAUUAAGAGGCCGCAGCUGAAAACCCCUUUUGGCAGAUUAAAUAAGAUGUAAACAUUUGAGAUCUAAUGUAUCUAGUAGCUUGUAAUAUUAAAAAAAACUGUGAGGUAUAAACAUCUUUACCACAGUGCAGAAGAGCUUGUAUGUGCAGCUAUGAUUAAGGAAGAGGGAAUGUUUAGUGUUUACAUUGCAGACUGAAUGGCUACGAUACAACCUCAGAUGCUGGUGGAAUGUCUGUGAUAUAGCUGCAUAUGCUGACUGAUUGUAAAACACUCCUCCACUUUCACUUCCUUUUACUGGUUAAGAGUAAUGCUUUAAAAUGUUUGCUUUACAGCUAUGUUGAUAAAGAUGACUUGCUAUAGCCUUUCCUGUCAGUUAAAGACAGUAUUUGUGAGCUGAUAAUAGUGGACAAUGUGAGAGGCACAGAAUAAGUUCUGAGCAGAGAUCAAUAAUCAAUUGCCAAAAAAAGAAAAAGGAAAGCAUGGAUGAAUUUUAAAGCAUGUACCGAAAUUGGAUUGUAUGUAUCAUGUACAUGAUUCAGACUGGCUCGUUUUAGAGGACCUUAGCCCACAGGCCUCCCCAUUUAAUUAAAAACAAAAACCUAUGUGCAUAAUAUAACACCUCACAACAAAGUGGUAAAUAAAUUCAAAAGCAUCAGCAAAUGUAAGUACAAAAACAUUGCAGUACUGAAAGUGUGACACUGUCUUGACUAACAACAUUUUGUCACAGAUAAGUGGUUAACAAUUCACUAAAUAAAUUUUGUACAAAAAGUAACCAUAGGUUAAGUCAAAGAACAUAAUCAUCCUAUUUCUGAUUCCAAUGAAAUGACUUUCAAUAUUCUCACAAUAAAUAAAGGGAAAUAAAUCAUAAAUCCAUAACCAUAUGCAGCGAAUUUAUAUUUAAAUGUUAUAGUUCUCAAUGUUUGGUUUUAAUAUGUGUGUUCAAUGGUGCUCACAUUAUGGAUGCAUGAAUGCAUACACUCAUCAUAGAAUCUUCACAAUCACAUUUUUUUUCAAAGUCUGUAAAAUAUCUUCCAGUUUUUGCACAUUGUCUUCACACAAUUUUAAUAUUAAGGGGAUGCCAUGGUCUUUCAAGAAUAUAUGAGUAGUAAUUUUCAAUGCAUUAUCAUGAUUAAAUAUGAAAGUGGACAUUUUAUAAGCAUGCCUUUAUCGUCAACAAUUACCAGCACUGUACUGUAUAAAAAUGCAGUACACAUAUAAGUUGCAUGUGUCUGUGUAAGAGAGUGAUUUGCAAACUACAAGAUUUGAUUACUUGUGAACUUCAUAUAAUGCUAAAUAUUCUUUCAAGCUAUGAAAAUUUGUAGAGGCUGAUAUACAGCUUUAUAUACUGUUAAAACCUCUCCUCCAGAGCAUAGCAUAAACUUAUAAAAGGAACUUGAAACUAAUACAAAUCAAUACGGCAAAUAUUUGUAGAUCUUGAAUUAUUUUUAACAUAUUUUAUCAAAUAUAUUUAAAAAUCUCUUGUUGAAAUAUGUACAGAGCUGUAUCCUUGGUUAAAUUGCAACCACCAUUCAUAGGUUGGAGAAUAUAAUAUAAUCGCAAAAUAUAGCUGCUAUGCAAUAUAUAAACUGAGAAGACUCAACCAUUUGAAAAUAUCACCACAAACUUUAGCUAUAAAACCCAGCAUAUUCUUUCCAAAAAAAAAA